ensembl:snRNA U6 U6 spliceosomal RNA
GCUUGCUUUGGCAGCAUAUACUAAAAUUGGAACAAAACAGAGAAGAUUAGCAUGGCCCCUGCACAAGGAUAACACAAAUUUGUGAAGCGUUCCAUAUUUUA